GACGAACGCUGGCGGCGUGCUUAACACAUGCAAGUCGAACGGUAAGGCCCUUUCGGGGGUACACGAGUGGCGAACGGGUGAGUAACACGUGGGUGAUCUGCCCUGCACUUUGGGAUAAGCCUGGGAAACUGGGUCUAAUACCGGAUAGGACUACGCGAUGCAUGUCGUGUGGUGGAAAGCUCUUGCGGUGUGGGAUGGGCCCGCGGCCUAUCAGCUUGUUGGUGGGGUGAUGGCCUACCAAGGCGACGACGGGUAGCCGGCCUGAGAGGGUGUCCGGCCACACUGGGACUGAGAUACGGCCCAGACUCCUACGGGAGGCAGCAGUGGGGAAUAUUGCACAAUGGGCGCAAGCCUGAUGCAGCGACGCCGCGUGGGGGAUGACGGCCUUCGGGUUGUAAACCCCUUUCAGCACAGACGAAGCGUAAGUGACGGUAUGUGCAGAAGAAGCACCGGCCAACUACGUG
rnacentral:rRNA from 1 species